AUUGAACGCUGGCGGCAGGCUUAACACAUGCAAGUCGAACGAGUGGCGGACGGGUGAGUAAUGCUUGGGAAUCGAGCUUAUGGAGGGGGAUAACUACGGGAAACUGUAGCUAAUACCGCGUACAAUAGGAUGAGCCCAAGUGGGAUUAUGUAGUGGGGGAGGUAAAGGCUCACCAAGCCGACGAUCUCUAGCUGGUCUGAGAGGAUGACCAGCCACACUGGGACUGAGACACGGCCCAGACUCCUACGGGAGGCAGCAGUGGGGAAUAUUGCGCAAUGGGCGCAAGCCUGAUACAGCCAUGCCGCGUGUAUGAAGAAGGCCUUCUGGUUGUAAAGUACUUUCAGUCGGGAGGCGUUACCGACAGAAGAAGCACCGGCUAACUCCGUGCCAGCAGCCGCGGUAAUUC
rnacentral:rRNA from 1 species